AAUAACCCGCCGAAAGGCGGGCUAAUACCGCAUAAGACCGUAAGGUGAAAGGGUGUAACUACCUGCUAGAGGAGCGGCUCGCGUCCCAUCAGCUUGUUGGUAGGGUAAUGGCUUACCAAGGCUAAGACGGGUAGCUGGACUGAGAGGUUGGCCAGCCACAAGGGCACUGAGACACGGGCCCUACUCCUACGGGAGGCAGCAACCGGGAAUCGUAGACAAUGGGCGAAAGCCUGAUCUCGCGACGCCGCGUGGAGGAUGAAGGCCUUCGGGUUGUAAACUCCUUUUAUCGGGGAAUAAGGUCCGACUUGUCGGACUUGACUGUACCCGAUGAAUAAGCCGCUGCUAACUACGUGCCAGCAGCCGCGGUGAUACGUAGGCGGCAAGCGUUACCCGGAUUUAUUGGGCGUAAAGCGUGCGCAGGUGGUCCGGUAAGUUUUCGUUUAAAGACACUUGGCUCAACAGUGGACCGCGAAAAUACUGCCAGACUUCGAGGAAGCUAGGGGGUGCCGGAACAGAUGGAGGAGCAGUGAAAUGCGUUGAUAUCAUCUGGAACACCCAAGGCGAAGGCAGGCACCUGGGGCUUUCCUGACACUGUUGCACGAAAGCGUGGGGAGCGAAUGGGAUUAGAUACCCCGGUAGUCCACGCUGUAAACUUUGGACACUAGAUAUCGGGCUGGUGACGGCUCGGUGUUGUAAGCUAACGCGUUAAGUGUCCCGCCUGGGGAGUACGGCCGCAAGGCUAAAACUCAAAGGAAUUGACGGGGACCCGCACAAGCAGGGGAACGUGUGGUUUAAUUCGAGACAAAACGAAGAACCUUACCAGGGUUUGACAUGUACGUGGUAGGAAGCCGAAAGGUUUACAACCCGCAAGGGAGCUUACACAGGUGCUGCAUGGCUGUCGUCAGCUCGUGCCGUGAGGUGUACCCUUAAGUGGGGUAACGAGCGCAACCCCUAUCAGCUGUUGUAUCACUCAACUGAGACUGCCCCGCUAAGCGGGGAGGAAGGAGGGGACGACGUCAAGUCAUCAUAGCCCUUAUGUCCUGGGCUACACACACGUUACAAUGGGUGUUAACAACGGGUUGCAACUCCG
rnacentral:rRNA from 1 species